GACGAACCGUGCGAACGUUUAUUCGGAAUCACUGGGCUUAAAGCGCGUGUAGGCGGGACGGCACGUCGGUCGCUGAAAGCCCCCGGCUCAACCGGGGAAGUGGCGCCGAUACGACCGCCCUGGAGGGACGUAGGGGGACCUGGAACUUCCGGUGGAGCGGUGAAAUGCGUUGAGAUCGGAAGGAACGCCCGUGGCGAAAGCGAGGUCCUGGACGUUUUACUGACGCUGAGACGCGAAAAGCCAGGGGGAGCGAACGGG
rnacentral:rRNA from 1 species